UAAGUGUAUAUUUUAUGGGGUACAAAAGAUAUUUUGAUACAGGCAUAAAUGUAUAAUAAUCACUUCAGGGUAAAUGGGAUUUCUAUCACCUCAAGUAUUUACUCUUUGUGUUACAGACAAUCCAAUUAUAUACUUUUACUUUUACUUUCUGACA